rnacentral:rRNA from 1 species
UACGUAGGGUGCGAGCGUUAAUCGGAAUUACUGGGCGUAAAGCGUGCGCAGGCGGUUCGCCAAGUCAGGUGUGAAAUCCCCGGGCUUAACCUGGGAAUUGCGCUUGAAACUAGCGGGCUUGAGUGUGGCAGAGGGGGGUGGAAUUCCACGUGUAGCAGUGAAAUGCGUAGAGAUGUGGAGGAACACCGAUGGCGAAGGCAGCCC